UUUCUCUCAUUCCUCUUCAGCAGAGCUGAGAGUGACAGCGCAGCGCCACCCGGAAGGCACGAGACGAUCAGUGAGGAGCCGAGAAUGAACCGCUUCAGGACGUCCAGGUUUAAGAACACCACUCCGAAGAUCGGGAAGAAAGAUGAGUGGAUCUCAAACGUGCGAGGAAGCUCCCUCAACUCUCAGGGCAACCAGAUUAAAUCCAGCUGCAGCCUCGUGGCCUUCAACACUGACCAGGCCGGUGGUGGAAAGGUGGGUCUUUGCUCACUUGAUCCCGGACCUGAUGGCAAAUGGACAGUAACUCAAAUUCCGUGUCAUGCUGACCAAGUGACUGAUCUGGAUUUCUCCCCAUUUGAUGACUAUCUCUUGGCCACCUGCUCAGCUGAUGAGACGGUAAAGAUAUGGCGUUUGUGUGAUCCAGGUCAGGAGCAGCCAGUGAGUGCUAGUACAUCUUUAAGUCCUGGUGAAGGAAGACUGGAGCUGCUGCAUUUCCAUCCCACUGCUGCAGGCUUGCUGGCGGUCGGCUCAGGCAGGGGUGUCCAGGUCUGGGACACCAGCAGAGACAAAGCGCUGGCAGUUCUAGAGCAGCAUAAGGAGCAGUUGCAGGGUCUGGCCUGGAAAGAGGACGGCUCCCUAUUGGCCUCCUCCUGCAAGGACAAAAACCUGCGCAUCUUUGAUCCGAGAGCACAGUUGACUGCAGUCCAGUGUGCUCAAGUUCUUUAUAGCAACAAGGAUUCUCGUGUUCUCUGGGUGAAAGAUUAUAUCCUAACUACUGGAUUCAAUCAGAAUCGGCAGCAGGAGGUGCGGCUGUGGGAUUACAGGAAGCUGAACUCCUCUUUGAGCUCUGUGUCUUUAGCCACUUCCAAUGGGACUUUAAUGCCAUUGUAUGAUUCUGACUGCAGUCUCCUCAUAGUGUCAGCAAAGGGAGACAGUGUGAUCGACUGCUUUGAGGUGACCACAGGCGAGCCAUGCCUUUCACAAGUGAGCCACUGCCUGAGCGACACAUCCACACGUGGAAUAGCAGUGGUGCCCAAACUGGCGCUGGACGUAAGCCGUUGCGAAGUGCUGCGGGUGAUGCAGCUGACUGACAAUUUCAUCAUCCCAAUCAGCUACCAGGUGCCUCGCAAGGCAGGGCAGGACUUCCAUGCUGACCUAUAUCCAGACACAGCAGGCCACACAGCAGCCAUGACAGCAGAUGAAUGGUGGCAGGGAAUGAACAAGCAAGUAGAAAAAGUCAGCCUCCAUCCAGACAAGAGGCCAAAGGGGAAAGCUCAGCCAGCCAGUCAGGUCACAGCAAAGGAGCUACCUCAUGGAAAAAGUAAAGAGGUGCCCUCCACCUCCAGUAGUGCCCUCAGUACCCCCAGUGACAGUGUGGUUCCCUCCCGCUCCCCCUCCUCCACCAGCGGUCUGUCCUCUGGAUUCCUCCCCAGCCCCAGCCAGAGCUCCCGUGCCAUCCAGGGCAUGCUGGGCCCAAGCUCCAAGUUCCGUCACAUACAGGGCACUGUUCUGCAUCGUGACACCCACAUCACCAACCUGCGUGGCAUGAGUCUGACUACACCUGGGGAGUGUGAUGGAUUCUCUGCCAAUGGGCAGCGGGUGGCAGUGCCUCUGGCCAUUGCAGGAGGGCAGAUUGCUGUGCUUGAGCUCUCUCAGCCUGGUAAGCUGGCAGACACAGCAUUGCCCACCAUCCAGAACUCAGUCAGUGUGGCUGACUUCUGCUGGGACCCUUUUGACCCUCACAAGCUGGUGGUUGCUGGUGAUGAUGCAAAGAUCCGUGUGUGGAAGAUUCCAGAAGGUGGCCUGGUGGAAACACUGACUGAACCUGAGUGUGUUCUAAAGGGACACACUGAGAAAAUCUACUCCAUCAAGUUCCACCCCCACGCCUCAGGUCUGGUGGUGUCCUCGUCAUAUGACAUGACCGUACGACUGUGGGACCUGGAAACUGGAAGGGAAGUCAAGAAAAUGAGUGGACACCAAGAUCAGAUAUUUGGAAUGGCUUGGAGUCCCAACGGCAAGUUUUUGGCUACUGUGUGUAAAGAUGGAAAAGUGCGUUUGUUUGACCCACGCAAGUCUACUGAGCCCAUCCAGGAGGGCCCUGGUCCUGAGGGCCACAGAGGUGGCCGUGUUGUCUGGGUGUGUGAUGGCCAGUACCUGCUGGUGUCAGGGUUUGACUGUCGCAGUGAGAGACAACUUUACCUGUUCUCUGCUGAGUCCUUGGCCUCUGGACCUGUGGCUACUGCACCUGCUGACGUGUCACCCUCAACUCUCAUCCCAUUCUAUGACGUUGACACCAGCCUUGUUAUUCUCACAGGGAAGGGUGACACACGUGUGUAUAUCUAUGAGAUCUUAACAGAAGCCCCUUACUUCAUGGAGUGCAGCAGCUUCCACUCCUCUGAGCCACACAAGGGCUUGUGCUUCCUGCCAAAGACGGUGUGUGAUGUACGUGAUGUAGAGGUGGCCAGAGCUGUCAGACUUAGCAAGACCACCAUUGAGCCAGUGGCCUUCAAAGUGCCUCGUGUCAGAAAAGAGUUCUUCCAGGAUGAUGUGUUCCCUGAGACAGCAGUGUGGUGGGAUUCAACUCUGAGUGCUGCUGCCUGGCUCUCCGGUUCUGACAGACAGCACCGCAAGAUCAGCCUGCAACCUAAAGACAUGACCCCUGUGAGCGAGGCUCCUAAGGAAGCACCAGUGAGGAAGUACCUCCCCUCUUCUGUGUACCUCGAAGAGAAGACCGACGAACAGAAGAAAGAGGAGCUUUUGAGUGCCAUGGUAGCUAAGUUGGGGAACAGGGAAGAUCCACUGCCACAGGAGUUAUUUGAGGGUGUGGAUGAAGAUGAAUGGGAUGACUAGUGAGAAGCCUUGCCAUCAACAGAAAAUUAAAGAAAGAUCCUAUCCUGCUUGAUAUCCAUGUCAUUCCUGAGUACCAGACUGAAGGCCACACUCCAAUACAUCCACUUAUGCAUCACAAAAUCCAACAAACGUCUUCUGCAUCAAUCAGUCAGCAUUAAAUGUACAUAAUCUUCUAUAGUUAGCUGUACAGGUACUUCUAUGGUCAGUGAUCAUGCGUUCAGGUACAUGCAGACUUGCUAAUACAUAAGACUGGUUGAAUGUACUCUGAGCCUCACAGCAUUGCAUGUGUUUUUAACUGUUGAUAAGAAUUAAUUUUUAUAAAGUUAAAUUUGUCUAUAAGAUUAUAACAAUGUUUCACAAGCUCCUCCUUGACACCCUCCCCUUAUAAAUCUCAAAUCAUAGGUUUCCAAGUUUUAUGGUUAUACUGAAUAGCUGUAUCAUGUGUAAGAAAAUUCAUGUUGGGAAAACACACACACCUCUGAAACCUCCAUUAAAUUACUCUGUUCUGCAAUCUUCAUAUCUCAAGCAAAUGGGGAUUGCCUGAUAGAACUAUAUUCUACUCUUAUUCAGUAGAAAGUGUUCCUUUGAGUUUGUUUUUCAUUCAACUUUGCCAGCAGUGUUAUUAGCAAUCAGUGCAUCAUGUCACAUAUAACAAUAAUAUUCUGAAUAUGUUUACAUAUGUGACAGAAGACUUGUGCAUGUUAUAGACAUUUCCCAUGGGUUCUCCUUAUAAUGAGGCAGUGCUUAGAUACAUGUAACUCCAUUAAGGUAAUCAUAUUUGUUUAAUGCUUCAGUAUUCUCUGAAAAAUCAUGAAAAAAUUAUGCUACUUUUUAUGAUUUGGAGCCAGUAAGUUUGCUCUUACUGUCCCUGUUCAACCAAAUCUGCCAUAUGGGAUGUUGCCUUGUAAUAAAACUUUUGCAAGUUUAACCAUCUGGCAGUGGGGGCGUGGUCAAGUGUCAGCUGCAGACGGAAAGGAGGUGGGCUGAACCGGCAGGUAACACGUGAUGAGUCUCACCUGUGUCUGUGUGUGUUGCACGCUCUGCCAGUUCGAUCACUCACUCUCUGUCUGGUUACGGCCGUCCCUAAAAGCACAAAGAAACACAAAUAAGUAGAUUGGCGGUAACAAGACAUAGGUGAGAAUCAUCAAGCGUUACCUGCCAGUUCAACCCACUUCUCCAUCUGCAGUUGAUGCUCAACCAUGCCCAACAAACCAGUAAAGAGGUGCGUCUGGAAUAAAUAAAUGAAUUAAAUAAAAGGUACAGAAAAGAAUGUGUCUAGACUCUAAACAUUUGAAAAAUCAUUUGCUGCAUUAAAAGACUUUUUAUAAAGUACUAUUUGGAUUACUAGUUCCUCAGAGGUUAUUUGUAUAGUUAAUGGUUCUGAGAUUCAUAAGAAUUUUAAUUGGAAGCUGUGCUGUCGCUCUCACUGGUGUAGAGUUCUACAUAGAACCUUAAGUGGCUCUCCCAGAAUAAUGUUCUAGAUUUAAUCCUGUUCUAUACCUGUCCUGCUUAUUUUUCUGCUUUUCUCAGCACAGUUUCCCAACCCUGGUCUGGAGUACCCCCUGUCGUUUGCACUUUAGUGUUUUCCCUGCACCCACUUCAACUCAGGAAGGGCUGUUAGCUGAUCAGCCUCAUUCACAAGAAAACAUUUAGUUAUUUUUAUACAGUCAUGGGAAAAAACUACACGCCCCUUCAAAUCUAUGUUUUUAUUUAUCUCAGCCUAAAUAACAAUUGUGUUGUCCUCACCAACUUCUAUAAACAAACAAAUAACCUCAGGUGACAACAAAAAACACAACAGUUCUAGUCAUUUUUUUUUCCCAAAAAGUAAACCAACGUUCAGAAACGGGUGGGAAAAAAGUACACCCUUUAAUUUAGUAACAUGUAGCACCACAUUUAACCCCAAUAACAUUUUCUGUAGGAAUUCAUCUGUAGGAGUUUAUUAAGUGUAGAAUUUCAACUUUAAUUAAAGGGGUUUAACAGAAAUAUUGCAUUAACCUUUUAGGAAUUACAGACAUUUUUAGAGUUCCUCCAUUUUCACAGGCUCAAAAGUAAUUGGACAAACUAACAAUUAUAAAUACAAGGAUUAUUUUUAAUACUUGGAUACAAAUCCUUUGCAGUCAAUGACUGCCUGAUGUCUGGAACUCAUGGACAUCACCAAAAGCUGAGUUUUGUCCUUUGAGAUGCUUUGCCAGGCCUCUACUGCAGCCACCUUCAGUUGCUGCCUGUUUGUGGGUCUUUCUGCCUUCAGUUUUGUCUUCAGUAAGUGAAAAAUUCAGUUGGGUUGAGGUCAGGUGACUGACUCAGCCGUUUGUUUUGGGUCAUUAUCCAUCUGUACUGUGAAGCGCUGUCCUAUCAGAUUUGCAGCAUUUGACUGAAUCUGAGCAGAAAGUAUAGUUCUGUACACUUCAGAAUUCAUCUUGCUAUUUCUGUCAGCAGUCACAUCAAUAAACAUCAGUGUCCCAGUUCCAUUGAUAGCCAUACAUGCCCAUGCCAUAAUGCUGCCUCCACUGUGUUUGACAGAUGAUGUGGUAUUCUUUGGAUCAUGAGCCUUUCCUUCCUUCUCCAUACUCUUCUCUUCCCAUCAUUCUGGUACAAAUUAAUCUUGGUUUCAUCAGUCCAAAGAAUCUUGUUCCAGAACUGGGCAGUCUUUUUUAAAGACAUGUUCUAGCAAAGUCUAAUCUGUCCUUUCUGUCUUUGAGUGUUACCAGUGGUUUGCAUCUUGAGGUAAACCCUCUGUAUUUACAUUAAUGAAUGCAUCUCUUGAUUGUGGACUUUGACAAUGAUUCACCUACCUCCUCAUGAGUGUUCUUGUCUUAGCUAGAUGUUGUGAAGGGGUAUUUCUUCACCAAGGAAAGAAUACUGUGAUCAUUCACUUUAGUUGUCUUCUGUGGUCUACCAGGCCUUUUGGUGUUGCUGAUCGUGCCAGUGCAUUCCUUCUUUUUAAGAACAUACCAAAUUGUUGAUUUGGCCACUGCUAAAGUAUCUGCUAUCUCUCUGAUAGGUCUUUUUUGUAUUUUCAGCCUAAUGAGGGUCUCCUUCACUUGCAGCAACAUCUCUUUGUACCACAUAUUGAGAGUUCCCAUGAACAGCUACCAAAUGCAAAUUCAACACUUGGAAUCAAGUCCAGACUUUUUAUUAGUGAUUGCAAACAUAUUCAAACCCCUUAAAAGUCUGGAUCCAGAUUCAUCUGGAUUACAAAUGACACUUACACAGAUUGUUCCAGCCUGAUUGUUAUUUUUAACAAUAUGCUCUUAAGUCAAAAUUCAUUAUUUGUCAGCAGAUCUUUUAAAAAAAAAAAAAAAAAAAAAAAACUGAAAAAUGUUGCUUAUGAAUAUUCAAUCCAUUCAGACUAGUAUUUGGUAUAACCAUCUUUUGCUGCAGUAACAGCUUUAAGUCUCCUACAAGCUUUGCACACUGUUGGGGAAUGAUUUUCCCUCAUUAUUUCUGGCAGAUUUGCUCCGGGUUCUUCAGGUUGGUUAGAUUCGAUUGAGAUCUAGACUUUGACUUGGCUGCUGUAGAACAUUUACAUUUUUGUUGUUUAACCACUUGUGUUGCUUUCCACUAGAUUUUGGAAUGUGGCUGUAGGGACUUACCACAAAAGCAUUACUGAGGUCAGGCACUGAUCAAGCGAGAAGACGUGGGGCACUCAGUGGGGUUGAGGUCAGGGCUCUGCGCAGGCCACUUGAGUUCUUCCACACCAACCUUGACACACCGUGUCUUCAUAGACCUCGCAUUGUUCAGAGACGCAUUGUCAUGCUAGAACAUGUUUGGGUCCCUUAGUUCCAGUGAAGGGAAAUCUUAAUGCUACAGCAUACAAAGACAUCCUAUACAAUUGUGUGCUUCCAACUUCAUGCCAACAAUUGGGUAAGAUCCACAUAUGGGUUUGAUGGUCAGGUGUCUACAAGCUUUUGGCCAUAUAGUGUACUUCACUGUUCGGAUGGAGUUUGUUGAGGAAUGGGCAGUGUUAGGUUUGCAUCCCACAUAGCAUUUUGAAUGUUGGCCAAAAAAGCUCCAUUUUUGUCUCAUUUGACUACAAAACCUUAUCCCACAUUUUAGCUGGGUCACUCUAAUGCUUUCUGACAAGCUCCAGACUUGCUUUGAUGUGUUUUUAUUUCCUUAGAAUGCUCUUUGGUCUUCAUUUUCAUUCCUUCAGUCUGAACUUCAAGGGGAUCUUUUAUCCAGAAAAGGUAAACUUUUUUAAUGUUUUAUGGGGAGAGGCCAAUUGUGUCCUUGUUAGGGCAAUAUCUCUCAUCUUUGUAUGCUUGGCACACAGCACAAGGGUUGAAUACUUAUGCAGACAGCGUUUUUCAGUUAGUAACUUUUGUCAUAGAAUAUUUUCUUACAAAGACAAUAUCAAAGUAUCAUUUGUAAUCCAGACGAAUCUGAUUAUUUAAGCCCUCCAGCCAGCAGGCGGCAACAGACAGCACAGUAAUAACCGGAAACGGACUUUUGUUCGUUGGUGCAAUCAUAGCCUACAUCACCUUGAGGAAGACACAUGUGAAACUACGGAUGUUUGAUUGUCGCUUUAAUACUUUAUCACGGCUUAUAAAAGGAGCUGAAUAAUGGCGAAGUAUCUGGCUCAGAUCGUGGUAAUGGGAGUGCAGGUGGUCGGCCGGGCUUUCGCGCGCGCUUUACGACAGGAGUUUGCAGGCAAUCAGGCUGCGGCAGAGGCGAGAGGAAGAGCAGGUAAGCAGUCAGCUGCAGUUUCCAGCUUCACUGGGAUGAGUCUGCAGGAAGCACAGCAGAUUCUGAAUGUAUCAACACUGAACCCAGAGGAAAUCCAGAAGAAUUAUGAACAUUUGUUUAAAGUAAAUGACAAAGCGGUUGGUGGCUCUUUCUACCUGCAGUCCAAGGUGGUGAGGGCUAAGGAGCGCCUCGAAGAAGAGCUUGCAAUUCAGAAACAAGACAAACCAUCAGAGCAGAAACAGCCACAUACAUGAGUCCUUUUGUUCAUAUCCUUCACGCUUUCCCUCUACUGUAAAUAAUGUCCUUGCCUAAAUAAAUCUUAAUGCUUUUCUUUA